rnacentral:lncRNA from 1 species
AAAACAUGAGUAAAAUCGGUUCUUCGGUUUUAAAAUACUUGAUUCGUACUUAUUUUGUAACCAAAACUUAAGUAAAAUCGAUUCAAAAAUAAGGAACAUCAACUAUGAUCAUUCAAAAUCAAACAAAAAGUAAACAUAUUUACUGAUAAAAAGAAAACCAAAUAAAUAAAAGCAUAGAACGAAAACCAAGUUGAGAAACAUUGUUUAACGAAAACAAAAUCAAAAUCUAAAUACUUCAAGAUUCAACGGUCAUCUUCAACCAUCAACCUUCGUGUAAUAGAACCACCAACAUUUAUGUAAUAGAACCACCA